CUUAAAUGUAGGCCUAACACAUCAAAUGUAGUGAUUCACUUUGUGUUUUCGUUAGAUGUACUUCUUUUUGUAUUCAUCUGAUGGGCUAAUCCUUUCUUACUGAUUUAUAUACUAGUAGUUCGUUCUAAUGUUGUACUAUUGCAUCAAUGUCCCAGGUUAAGGGAGGGUUGGGAUCCUGCUUACAUGUUCAACCUCCCCACAUUAUGUAUGUAUGUGUCUGUCCAAAGUCAGGAGCCUCGAAUUCGGUAAAUGUGUUACAUAUUUAUUUUUCGUUUAUUUUUUUGUACAUAAAUCAGAUCGUUAGUUUUCUCGUUUGAAUAUGUUUACAUUGUUGAUCUCGGGGCCUUUUAUAUCUGACUAUGCAGUAUGGGAUAUGCUCAUUGUUGAAGGCCAUACGAUGACCUAAUGUUGAUCAUUUCUGUGUAAUUUUUGUAUAUCCUUAUAUCAAUGUUUGCUUUAUUGCGGUCCUUUUUUACUUUUUUUUUUAACUCUGACUCAUUCAGUUGGAAAUGUGUUAGAUACUUCAACAUAUGGACGCACUUUAUUACACUCUGCUCAUAUGUGAGCCAUGCUAUUCCAAUAUGUAUAUAUCUCCUAUGUUUGUCUGCAUAUUCUUUGACUUUUUAAUCAAUUGACAGCAGUUAUAAACCUUCAGGAAUUCGGUUGAAGAUUUCAAUUAUAAGAAAUAUAGAUUUAAACAUUUUUUAAACCGUGCAAAUUU
rnacentral:lncRNA from 1 species